rnacentral:rRNA from 1 species
GUAGGGAAUAUUGCGCAAUGGACGAAAGUCUGACGCAGCGACGCCGCGUGAGUGAUGAAGGCCUUAGGGUCGUAAAGCUCUGUUGAAUGGGAAGAAAAAAAUGACGGUACCAUUCGAGGAAGGACCGGCUAACUUCGUGCCAGCAGCCGCGGUAAUACGAGGGGUCCUAGCGUUGUUCGGAAUCAUUGGGCGUAAAGGGUGUGUAGGUGGCCAUGUAAGUCAGGUGUGAAAGCCCCGGGCUCAACCCGGGAAGUGCACUAGAUACUGCGUGGCUUGAGUACCGAAGAGGGUAGUGGAAUUCCAGGUGUAGUGGUGAAAUACGUAGAUAUCUGGAGGAACACCGGUGGCGAAGGCGGCUACCUGGUCGAGUACUGACACUAAGACACGAAAGCAUGGGGAUCAAACAGGAUUAGAAACCCCAGUAGUCC